rnacentral:rRNA from 1 species
GUAGGUGGCAAGCGUUGUCCGAAAUUAUUGGGCGUAAAGCGCGCGCAGGUGGGUUCUUUAAGUCUGAUGUGAAAGCCCCCGGGCUCAACCGGGGAGGGUCAUUGGAAACUGGGGAACUUGAGUGCAGGAGAGGAAAGUGGAAUUCCACGUGUAGCGGUGAAAUGCGUAGAUAUGUGGAGGAACACCAGUGGCGAAGGCGACUUUCUGGCCUGUAACUGACACUGAGGCGCGAAAGCGUGGGGAGCAAACAGGAUUAGAUACCCUGGUAGUCCACGCCGUAAACGAUGAGUGCUAAGUGUUGGGGGGUUUCCGCCCCUCAGUGCUGCAGCUAACGCAUUAAGCACUCCGCCUGGGGAGUACGGUCGCAAGACUG